GACGAACGCUGGCGGCGUGCUUAACACAUGCAAGUCGAACGGAAAGGCCCUGCUUGCAGGGUGCUCGAGUGGCGAACGGGUGAGUAACACGUGGGUGAUCUGCCCCUUACUUUGGGAUAAGCCUGGGAAACUGGGUCUAAUACUGGAUAGGACCAUGCUGUAGGUGGUGUGGUGGAAAGAUUAGUUUCGGUAAGGGAUGAGCUCGCGGCCUAUCAGCUUGUUGGUGGGGUAAUGGCCUACCAAGGCGUCGACGGGUAGCCGGCCUGAGAGGGUGGACGGCAACAUUGGGACUGGGAUACGGCCCAGACUCCUACGGGAGGCAGCAGUGGGGAAUAUUGCACAAUGGGCGCAAGCCUGAUGCAGCGACGCCGCGUGGGGGAUGACGGCCUUCGGGUUGUAAACUCCUUUCAGCCAUGACGAAGCCCUUGUGGUGACGGUAGUGGUAGAAGAAGCACCGGCUAACUACGUG
rnacentral:rRNA from 1 species